GACGAAGGGGGCUAGCGUUGUUCGGAAUACUGGGCGUAAAGCGAGUGUAGGUGGUUGUCCAAAUUGGAUGUGAAAGCCUUGAGCUUAACUCAAGAAAUGCAUUCAGGACUGGGCGGCUAGAGGACCGGAGAGGAUAGUGGAAUUCCCAGUGUAGUGGUGAAAUACGUAGAGAUUGGGAAGAACACCAGUGGCGAAGGCGGCUAUCUGGACAGUGACUGACGCUGAGACGCGAAAGCGUGGGGAGCAAACAGG
rnacentral:rRNA from 1 species